rnacentral:RNase_P_RNA from 1 species
UCAGUCGGCCGGGCGGCCGCUCCGGCGAUCACCGAAAGGUGGCCGGGGAGGAAAGUCCGGGCUCCAUCGACAUACGGUGCCGGAUAACGUCCGGCGGGGGCGACCCCAGGGAAAGUGCCACAGAGAUCGAACCGCCCGCCGCCGCCUUCGGGCUUCGACGGGUAAGGGUGAAAAGGUGCGGUAAGAGCGCACCGCGUUGCCGGCAACGGCGACGGCAGGGCAAACCCCACCGGGAGCAAAACCGAAUAGGGACGGCCACGCGGCGCGUUCGCGCAAGCGAUAACACCGCAGGGCCAUGUCGGGCUCGCCGUCCGGGUAGGUUGCUCGAGGCCAUGCGCAAGCAUGGUCCCAGAGGAAUGGCCGCCACGCGCCGCGCGCGAAAGCGUGCGACGCCCUACAGAACCCGGCUUACAGGCCGGCUGAUACC